rnacentral:Y_RNA from 1 species
GGGUGGUGCGAAGGUAGUGAGUUAUCUCACUUGAUUCUUCAGUCAGUUAUAGAUUGAACUCCUUGUUCCACUCUUUCCCCCCUCCUUACUACUGCACGUGACUAGUCUAAA